rnacentral:rRNA from 1 species
UACGUAGGGAGCAAGCGUUGUUCGGAUUUACUGGGCGUAAAGGGCGCGUAGGCGGCAAAUCAAGUCAGCUGUGAAAUCUCCGAGCUUAACUCGGAACGGUCAGCUGAUACUGUUUUGCUAGAGUGCAGAAAGGGCAAUCGGAAUUCUUGGUGUAGCGGUGAAAUGCGUAGAUAUCAAGAGGAACACCUGAGGCGAAGGCGGGUUGCUAGGCUGACACUGACGCUGAGGCGCGAAAGCCAGGGGAGCAAACGGGAUUAGAUACCCCUGUAGUCC